GAUGAACGCUAGCGGCAGGCCUAAUACAUGCAAGUCGAACGGGUGUAGCAAUACAUUAGUGGCGCACGGGUGCGUAACGCGUAUGCAACCUACCCUUUACUGGGGGAUAACCCGGGGAAACCCGGGCUAAUACCGCGUAAUAAGUUAUAAGGCAUCUUAUGAUUUUGAAAGAUAUAUUGGUAAGGGAUGGGCAUGCGUCUGAUUAGCUAGUUGGCGGUGUAACGGACCACCAAGGCGAUGAUCAGUAGGGGAACUGAGAGGUUGAUCCCCCACACUGGUACUGAGAUACGGACCAGACUCCUACGGGAGGCAGCAGUAAGGAAUAUUGGGCAAUGGUCGGAAGACUGACCCAGCCAUGCCGCGUGCAGGAAGAAUCCCCUCUGGGGUGUAAACUGCUUUUCUACGGGAAGAAAACGCCCCCUGCGGGGGAACUUGCCGGUACCGUAGGAAUAAGCACCGGCUAACUACGUGCCAGCAGCCGCGGUAAUACGUAGGGUGCAAGCGUUGUCCGGAUUUAUUGGGUUUAAAAGGGUGCGUAGGUGGCUUUAUAAGUCUUGGGUGAAAGUCUGCGGCUCAACCGUAGGAUUGCCUGAGAUACUGUGAAGCUUGAGUUUGGUUGAGGCAACUGGAAUUGGUGAUGUAGCGGUGAAAUGCAUAGAUAUCACCAGGAACGCCGAUAGCGUAGGCAGGUUGCUAAGCCGAUACUGACACUGAGGCACGAAAGCGUGGGGAUCAAAAGCAGGAUUAGAUACCCUGGUAGU
rnacentral:rRNA from 1 species